CUGAACAAACACAAGAAGAGCCAGAGCUGAGCAGAGAAACAGCUCCAGUGGAACAUUCCACUAUAGAGGAAAACAAUAUGCCAGAUUUCACCUGCAUGUUCAAGCAGAGAGAAGACCAUCAGGAUCAUGAAUGGUGCUCUAGCAGUGACCUCUACCUCACUGAAAGUGACAGUGAUGAAGAUCCCCUGCCCUCGUCUGACCAUCAGUCCAUGGACACACCAAACACUUUUGAAGAGAAUCCCUGGUUUCCUCCUCACAGGUCAGAGAAUGUUGGAGGAAUGGCCAGGGCCUCUGAAACUGACCCCCAACCCAGGAUGAAGACCCAGCAAAGCAAUGUAAAAGGGAAAAGCAGGAGCUCUUUCUUUCAGUGGGUCUUUCAGUCGGCACUACAAGCUCUCCUGAUGAUCUUCACUCUGUGCUACAGCUCCUCACAGCCUCACAGAGGUGAAGCUCAUAGUGAUGAAGUUUGGAGCAGAGAAGAAUCCAACAGGAACCACAGCCCCGGGUAGAGAGAGACAGAGACAGAGACAGAGACAGAGAGAGAGAGAACGGGAGAAGCAUUAUUCCUCCCUCACCCUCGAGUGCUCACAGUGGUGAUUAAACUGAGAGGAUUCACAGUUUAAUAGACAGAAUGCUGUGAUGUGAGGGAGAACAGAAGAGCUGGUUCUGUUUCCACGUGGAUCUGCUAAGAGAAACUUCUUUAAAACGUGUGGAGCUUCAGAAGCUUUUCAUUCAUUUUCAUAUAUAAAUACAGAACUGAUAUACAUGUAAAUCUCCUGUACUGGAGGACUUUGCUUUUCUGGUGGACGUUAAAAUUAUUUUUCCAUCAAAUAUUAAAAUCAGUCACUCAUACCAGCAGUCAGACUGGUCUACCAGUAACCAGUGAGUGAUGCUCAGUGUUGAAGAAUUUGAUGAUUAUUGAUGUCCUACACCAUCUACCAUCUUUAGCAGACCCUCAGUCCCAUAGCAAACAGAUUAGUUUGUGAAAUUCUGACAUUAAUGCGAAGUUUUCACUAAAACUACAAACAAAUAAAUUUAGAACAGGAAUCUUCCUCAAUGUGGAGGUACAGUUGGAGGUAUAAGAAUUGAGUGUGGAGGGAAAGUCUACAGUAAAGUACAGUUGGGGGUAUAAACAGUGGAUGUGGAUGAAAAGUCUACAGUAAAGUACAGUUGGAGGUAUAAACAGUGGAUGUGGAGGGAAAGUCUACAGUAAAGUACAGUUGGAGGUAUAAACAGUGGAUGUGGAUGAAAAGUCUACAGUAAAGUACAGUUGGAGGUAUAAGAAGUGGGUGUGGAUGAAAAGUCUACAGUAAAGUACAGUUGGGGGUAUAAGAAGUGGAUGUGGAGGGAAAGUCUACAGGAAAGUACAGUUGGGGGUAUAAGAAGUGGAUGUGGAGGGAAAGUCUACAGUAAAGUACAGUUGGAGGUAUAAACAGUGGAUGUGGAGGGAAAGUCUACAGUAAAGUACAGUUGGAGGUAUAAACAGUGGAUGUGGAUGAAAAGUCUACAGUAAAGUACAGUUGGGGGUAUAAACAGUGGAUGUGGAGGGAAAGUCUACAGUAAAGUACAGUUGGAGGUAUAAGAAGUGGGUGUGGAUGAAAAGUCUACAGUAAAGUACAGUUGGGGGUAUAAGAAGUGGAUGUGGAGGGAAAGUCUACAGGAAAGUACAGUUGGGGGUAUAAGAAGUGGAUGUGGAGGGAAAGUCUACAGUAAAGUACAGUUGGAGGUAUAAACAGUGGAUGUGGAGGGAAAGUCUACAGUAAAGUACAGUUGGAGGUAUAAACAGUGGAUGUGGAUGAAAAGUCUACAGUAAAGUACAGUUGGAGGUAUAAACAGUGGAUGUGGAGGGAAAGUCUACAGUAAAGUACAGUUGGGGGUAUAAGAAGUGGGUGUGGAUGAAAAGUCUACAGUAAAGUACAGUUGGGGGUAUAAACAGUGGAUGUGGAUGAAAAGUCUACAGUAAAGUACAGUUGGGGGUAUAAACAGUGGAUGUGAAUGAAAAGUCUACAGUAAAGUACAGUUGGAGGUAUAAGAAUUGAGUGUGGAGGGAAAGUCUACAGUAAAGUACAGUUGGGGGUAUAAACAGUGGAUGUGGAUGAAAAGUCUACAGUAAAGUACAGUUGGAGGUAUAAACAGUGGAUGUGGAGGGAAAGUCUACAGUAAAGUACAGUUGGAGGUAUAAACAGUGGAUGUGGAUGAAAAGUCUACAGUAAAGUACAGUUGGAGGUAUAAGAAGUGGGUGUGGAUGAAAAGUCUACAGUAAAGUACAGUUGGGGGUAUAAGAAGUGGAUGUGGAGGGAAAGUCUACAGGAAAGUACAGUUGGGGGUAUAAGAAGUGGAUGUGGAGGGAAAGUCUACAGUAAAGUACAGUUGGAGGUAUAAACAGUGGAUGUGGAGGGAAAGUCUACAGUAAAGUACAGUUGGAGGUAUAAACAGUGGAUGUGGAUGAAAAGUCUACAGUAAAGUACAGUUGGGGGUAUAAACAGUGGAUGUGGAGGGAAAGUCUACAGUAAAGUACAGUUGGAGGUAUAAGAAGUGGGUGUGGAUGAAAAGUCUACAGUAAAGUACAGUUGGGGGUAUAAGAAGUGGAUGUGGAGGGAAAGUCUACAGGAAAGUACAGUUGGGGGUAUAAGAAGUGGAUGUGGAGGGAAAGUCUACAGUAAAGUACAGUUGGAGGUAUAAACAGUGGAUGUGGAGGGAAAGUCUACAGUAAAGUACAGUUGGAGGUAUAAACAGUGGAUGUGGAUGAAAAGUCUACAGUAAAGUACAGUUGGAGGUAUAAGAAGUGGGUGUGGAUGAAAAGUCUACAGUAAAGUACAGUUGGAGGUAUAAACAGUGGAUGUGGAGGGAAAGUCUACAGUAAAGUACAGUUGGGGGUAUAAGAAGUGGGUGUGGAUGAAAAGUCUACAGUAAAGUACAGUUGGGGGUAUAAACAGUGGAUGUGGAUGAAAAGUCUACAGUAAAGUACAGUUGGGGGUAUAAACAGUGGAUGUGAAUGAAAAGUCUACAGUAAAGUACAGUUGGGGGUAUAAACAGUGGAUGUGAAUGAAAAGUCUACAGUAAAGUACAGUUGGAGGUAUAAGAAGUGGGUGUGGACCAAAAGUCUACAGUGAAGUACAGUUGGAGGUAUAAGAAGUGGUUGUGGAGGGAAAGUCUACAGUAAAAUACAGUUGGAGGUAUAAGAAGUGGAUGUGGAGGGAAAGUCUACAGUAAAAUACAGUUGGGGUUAUAAACAGUGGGCGUGGAUGGAACGCUUGUGUUGGCUCAGCGCUGCCUCUGCUGGAUUGGUGGGGAUCUGGUCUGGUAGGAAAGGAAUCUGCUCCACGCUGAAACUUGGAAGCUUGGCUGAUCUCCAACAGCAGGUUUGAGCAAAUCUGCCCUCCAAACUCAAACAACAAACUCUUUCUUAACUUAUAAAUCAGAAGAGUGUAGGACUUUUACACUUAUGGUCAUUCAUCAGUGUAACAUUGUGGAUGUUCUAAGAACAAUUGGAGCAAUAUCCACGUUUUGUAUUUCAUAAACAUAUAAAUAAUUGAAUGUGUAUUUAAAACCACAUUAUAAAUAAAAAUAUCUGAUAAGACGUCUAGAUGCAGCAUGAAAAAAUGAGUAAUAAAAUCUUAUACUGUCAUUCUGUCUGAGAGUGUUACUGCAUCAUUACAA
ensembl:lncRNA